rnacentral:rRNA from 1 species
GCCAGACUCCUACGGGAGGCAGCAGUGGGGAAUAUUGCACAAUGGGGGAAACCCCGAUGCAGCAACGCCGCGUGGGUGAAGAAGUAUUUCGGUAUGUAAAGCUCUAUCAGCAGGGAAGAAGAAAGACGGUACCUGACUAAGAAGCCCCGGCUAACUACGUGCCAGCAGCCGCGGUAAUACGUAGGGGGCAAGCGUUAUCCGGAUUUACUGGGUGUAAAGGGAGCGUAGACGGCUGUGCAAGUCUGAAGUGAAAGCCCGUGGCUCAACCGCGGAACUGCUCUUGGAACUGCAUGGCUGGAGUACAGGAGGGGCAGGCGGAAUUCCUAGUGUAGCGGUGAAAUGCGUAGAUAUUAGGAGGAACACCGGUGGCGAAGGCGGCCUGCUGGACUGUGACUGACGUUGAGGCCCGAAGGCGUGGGGAGCAAACAGGAUUAGAUACCCCUGUAUAU